rnacentral:lncRNA from 1 species
ACUGCUAGGUUAGAUAUCAAAUCCGUAAUUGUUUGAUCCCUCUAAUCUGUGAAGCAACUAAGAUCUAAUAAUUUGCUGCAUCAGAAAUUUUCAGAUCUUAGGAAGAAUACUCGGCUAAAUCAAAUGCAACCGCUUGUGUUUGUGUUGUUUAGCUUCAUCGAUCUCUCUAAUUCUUAAGGCUGCUACUAGAUUAAACCUUUAGCGCUUGUCUUGGGUUGUUUAGUAGUUAGGGUUAAUUAGAUCGCUUGUUUUUAAUUAACUACAACUAAGAAGAGAUAGAAAAAUAUUUCUAUCGGUGGACAUUCAAAGUGCAAAUUGAUAUUUUUNNNNNNNNNNNNNNNNNNNNUUGUGUUUUGUUGUUGUUUAGCUUCAUCGAUCUCUCUAAUUCUUAAGGCUGCUACUAGAUUAAACCUUUAGCGCUUGUCUUGGGUUGUUUAGUAGUUAGGGUUAAUUAGAUCGCUUGUUUUUAAUUAACUACAACUAAGAAGAGAUAGAAAAAUAUUUCUAUCGGUGGACAUUCAAAGUGCAAAUUGAUAUUUUUGCAUCAAUGAUCAGUUGUAAAAUUUCGAUGGUGGAUGUUGACUUAGACCAAGAUUUGUUCUUUUGAUU